CACCAGGCCUGGGGACAGGGGCCGGCCACUGGGCCGGCCGCGAGGAGCUGUCCUCAUGGCGGCCGGGUCCAGCCAUAGCCCGGCAGCGCAGUGCAGUGGGCAGCCUGCCCCACCCGCCUGCUCCCCGUGCUGCCUCAGGCCUCAGGCCCUCAGCCAGAGCACCCUCCAAGGUCCCCCAGCCCAGCCACGCGGCCUCCUUGCGGCCCGAGUCACACCCAGGGCCUAGCCUGUCCCAUACCCUGUGCCAGCAGCGCCCCCUGCUGGCUCCGCAGCCCUCCGACUCGGCUGGCUGCACCGCCUCAGGGAAGCCCUCUGGGAUCUGCCUGCCCUGCUCUCUGGAGUGAGGACCCUCCCAGCACCGAGAUGGGGAGUUUGUGCAACUCCCACUGGGUCGGCCCAGACUUGCCUCCGUUUUUCCCCCGCAAGGGGAAUGUGUUAGGUAUUUCGCUUAUUUCGGUAUCUCCAAAACUCUUAGCACAAAAUCAGGCACAUAGGAGGCCUUGAAAAGAUCCUUGUUGGUUGACGUAUUGCUGAGUGAGUGAGCUGUGAUGGCGGCACAGGCCCUGGUCCUCAGAGCCUGAGGGAGUGUGUGCACGUGUGCAUGCAUGUGCGUGUAUGUGGGAUGUGCGUGUGUCUUUGUGUGCAUAUGUGAUGUGUGUGGUGUGUAUGUGGUGUAUGUAGGUGUGUGGUGUGUGUGGUGUGUGUGUGCUGUGUGGUGUGUGUAGGUGUGUGCUGUGUGUAGGUGUGUGCUGUAUGUGUGCUGUAUGUGUGGUGUGUGGUGUGUGUAGGUGUGUGAUGUGUGUGGUGUGUGGUGUGUGUGUAGGUGUGUGUUAUGUGUAGGUGUGUGGUGUCUGUGGUGUGUGUAUAGGUGUGUGGUGUGUGGUGUGUGUAGGUGUGUGGUGUGUGUAAGUGUGUGUGCUGUGUGGUGUGUGUGUGCUGUGUGGUGUGUGUAGGUGUGUGCUGUAUGUGUGGUGUGUGGUGUGUGGUUGUGUGGUGUGUGUGUGGUGUAUGUAGGUGUGUGCUGUGUGCUGUGUGUUGGUGUGUGGUGUGUGUGCUGUAUGUGUGGUGUGUGGUGUGUGUAGGUGUGUGGUGUGUGUGGUGUGUGUGUGGUGUAUUUGGGGUGUGGUGUGUGUAGGUACGUGUGCAGGUGUAGCUCACACCCCGCCUCCCUCUAGUCCCCUCACAAGUAAGCAGGACCGUCAG
rnacentral:lncRNA from 1 species